UUUCCGUAGGUGAACCUGCGGAAGGAUCAUUCAUAAUAAGUGUUUUAUGGCACUUUUUUAAAUCCAUAUCCACCUUGUGUGCAAUGUCAGGGUUGAUUCUUCUCUCGAGAGGAUCAACCCCAAACAUCAACUAUAUCUCAACUCUUUGUCUGAAAAAUAUUAUGAAUAAAACAAUUCAAAAUACAACUUUCAACAACGGAUCUCUUGGCUCUC
rnacentral:misc_RNA from 1 species